GGCUCAGGGAGACCCGGUGUCCCGGCGCGCGCACCCCCACUUCCGGGCAGCGCCCUCGGUCCUGAAGUCAGGCGCGGAGAGACGGUCCCUUUAAUAGGGGCGCGGCCUUCCCUGAGCGGCCCGGAGGGCAGCAGCCCCAUUGGCUGGAACCGGCCUCGGCCACGCCCCCCGCGCUCAGUCCCUGGAAUCCUAUUGGCCCAGCUCCAGGGCCCGUCUCCCCCACCCCGGGAGCCCGGGCACCACGCCAGGUUCGGUGACGCAAACGCGUUGCCCGGCAACCGCUCCCGCCUCGGGGCAGAGGGGCCCAGCCCGGAGCCAGGGCGCAGGCGCGGCCGCCGCGAGUGCCCGGGGCGCGCGGCCGGGACCCCGAGCCCUCCCUGCCCCCCAGGGCGAGGCCGGGCCGGGCGGACGGGGAGGAGGGGUCUCGGCGUGGGACCCGGCUGGGCGCCGCGGGGAGGGCGUCCUGGAGGCUGGACCCCGGGCCCUGCCCAGCCGCCCCGGCCCGGGUCCCCGCGCCCUCCCAGCGGCCAGGCUUGCGCCCUCCGUGCCUCCCUCCGCGCUGCACCGGCCUCGCCCUGCUCAUCUGCAGAAUGGGAGCUCGGGGCGCCCAGGCCUGCGCGAGCCCCCGGGGCUGUAGAUGACCAGAUCCAGGCCUCCGAUGACCGACCUCUCUUCUGUGACACUUGUGGAGGGGGAGUGGGCAUCCGGGUCACGAGGACACACAGGGCUCGGUGCCACCCCGCCCAGAGCGGCCUAGCCAGGAGCUGCCCCGGGGAAGCAGCCUCCGCCGAGCCGCCGUCAGCCAGCAGGGACAGAGGCCGGGAGGCAAGAGGGCCUGGGGCAGGUGACCUGAGUGGUGGCCCUGGCUCAGCAUGGGGCAUCCCCUACCUCUGCCUCCCCUGCCCUCCCAGCCCCGCCACCCGUCCAUGCCCCUCCCAGGACCUGAGCACAUGCCUGAAAGCUCCCUCGAAACCGGGGGCCCGGCUGGGAGUGGGAGAUCUCACUUUCCCCAGAGCCACCUGCGUGUCCACUGUCUUGGCCCACGGGGCAGAGAGGAAAAGGACGACAGGCCAAGGGCCUGUCCGCGGUCACUGGGGCACAGUGGUGGCCCCGGCCACCUGCUGGCCCGGCCCUGCCAGCCCCCAGCCUCACCCGGCCCCCGCCUCAGGCACUCUCGGUGGCUGACCCCGGAGACAGGACGGGCGCGGGCCCACGGCGCCCAGGCACCCUCAGCCAAGCAGGCCGCCCGGCCACACCCACGCCUGCUUUCUCCUCUCCCUGCCCGCCCCGCCCCCAUGGAGGACGGCCGCCCUGGCUCCAUCCCCAGGACUGCUGAGCCACCGGAAUGGAGCGGGUUGUGAGUCAGUCAGCAGGAAGGGACACUUACAGCCACUUGCAUCAGAUGUUCCUGCCGCGUGGCCCCACAGCCAGAAGCCCCAGCUCGUGACCCCAACUUCUCUGGGGAGCUCCUGGGGCUUGGGGUUCCUGUCCAUGGAUGGCCAGACAUGGAGGGACACGUGGAGAAGGCACAGGCUGGGUCGGGCGCCAGCCUCGGACUCCCAACUGCAUGUGUCCCCUCUACCCAUAGCCACCAAGUGCCAAUCCUGGUCCCCACACCCUGAUACCCCUUAGAAGCUACACAGGGACCCAGGUCCUCCCGCACCUGUGCGGGGUUUUAAGGCAGCCCUGUGCCUCCUCUGAGUCUCAGGGGCCUGGCUCUGGGUAAAGAUCGGGAGCCCCAGCCCUUCCCUCAAAUGCACUGGCUUGUGACGAUACUGCAGACACCCUGGCACCAGCCCCACCGCCCUGCCCCACGCACGGGCCUGUUGCUCUCUCCCGGUGUGCACGCACCUGCUGGUGCCAGGUACGUAAGAGCUAGCUUUGGGGCCCACCGCCCCCCACCCUGCUACCACGCGUGCACAGACCCAGGCUCGGUGCUUCUCUAAGCGCACGGACACACAUACACACCUGCAUCUGCUCAUGCUCACGCACACCCACACCAAACCUGUGCCUCAUUUAUAGUGUUGGGGGAGAAAGGUCUUUACCAUCACCUCCUGGCCGGGUUGUCAGGUAAAAUACAGGAACCAAGUUACAUUUGAUUUUCAGGUGAACAAUAACUACCUGGGAUAUGCUUCUGCACGGGCUUUCACUGAGAAGUGUUCAUUGUUUAUCUGCGGCUCGCAUGUAACCAGGUGUUCUGUAUUUUAUUGGGCUAAAUCUGGGCGCUCUGUCUGCGGUCUGCUGGGUCGUGGAGGCCCUGAGCACCCCAGGGCACUCCCCCGCCCCAGGAGGUUAACGCUGUGCACCCAAGCCCCUGGAUCCCAGGGCUCUGGCCACUCAGCCAGGCCAAGGAGGAGGUGGUCAGAGAGGGCAGCACCCAUCACAGCCGGCUUGCCUCCUGGCUCAAAGGAAGCAGGGCGGGGAUCCCUGGGUGGCGCAGCGGUUUGGCGCCUGCCUUUGACUCAGGGUGCGAUCCUGGAGACCCGGGAUCAAGUCCCACAUCGGGCUCCCGGUGCAUGGAGCCUGCUUCUCCCUCUGCCUGUGUCUCUGCCUCUCUCUCUCUCUCUCUCUCUCUCUCUCUGUCUGUCUGUCUCUUUCUGCGUGACUAUCAUAAAUAAAUAAAAAUUAAAAAAAAAGGAAGCA
ensembl:lncRNA